rnacentral:rRNA from 1 species
UUGGAGGGCAAGUCUGGUGCCAGCAGCCGCGGUAAUUCCAGCUCCAAUAGCGUAUAUUAAAGUUGUUGCAGUUAAAAAGCUCGUAGUUGAAUUUCGGGGUCAGUAGGUUGGUCAUGCCACUGGUAUGUACUGGUCUCACUGACUCCUCCUUCCUGAUGAACUGUAAUGCCAUUAAUUUGGUGUUGCAGGGAAUCUGGACUGUUACUUUGAAAAAAUUAGAGUGUUUAAAGCAGGCUAACGCCUGAAUACAUUAGCAUGGAAUAAUGAAAUAGGACGUUCGAUCCUAUUUUGUUGGUUUCUAGGAUUGACGUAAUGAUUAAUAGGGAUAGUUGGGGGCAUUAGUAUUCAAUUGUCAGAGGUGAAAUUCUUGGAUUUAUUGAAGACUAACUACUGCGAAAGCAUUUGCCAAGGAUGUUUUCAUUAAUCAAGAACGAAAGUUAGGGGAUCGAAGACGAUCAGAUACCGUCGUAGUCUUAACCAUAAACUAUGCCGACUAGGGAUCGGAUGAUGUUAAUUUUUUAAUGACUCAUUCGGCGCCUUACGGGAAAC